rnacentral:rRNA from 1 species
GAUGAACGCUGGCGGCGUGCCUAAUACAUGCAAGUCGAGCGAACGGACGAGAAGCUUGCUUCUCUGAUGUUAGCGGCGGACGGGUGAGUAACACGUGGAUAACCUACCUAUAAGACUGGGAUAACUUCGGGAAACCGUAGCUAAUACCGGAUAAUAUUUUGAACCGCAUGGUUCAAGAGUGAAAGACGGUCUUGCUGUCACUUAUAGAUGGAUCCGCGCUGCAUUAGCUAGUUGGUAAGGUAACGGCUUACCAAGGCAACGAUGCAUAGCCGACCUGAGAGGGUGAUCGGCCACACUGGAACUGAGACACGGUCCAGACUCCUACGGGAGGCAGCAGUAGGGCAUCUUCCGCCAUGGGCGAAAGCCGGACGGAGCAACGCCGCGUGAGUGAUGAAGGUCUUCGGAUCGUAAAACUCUGUUAUUAGGGAAGAACAUAUGUGUAAGGAACUGUGCACAUCGUGACGGUACCUAAUCAGAAAGCCACGGCUAACUACGUG